GCCUUCCUAGCUCAGCAGGCAGAGCACCUGGCUUCCACCCAGGCGGCGCGGGUUCGAACCCCGCGGGAGGCU
rnacentral:tRNA from 1 species